UACGGAGGGUGCGAGCGUUUGUCCGGAAUCACUGGGCGUAAAGGGCGCGUAGGCGGUGCGAGAAGCGUGUGGUGAAAGGCCGGGGCUCAACCCCGGCUCGGCCGUGCGGACUCUCGCGCUUGGUGAGUGCUGUAGAGGCGGGCGGAAUUCCGGGUGUAGCGGUGGAAUGCGUAGAGAUCCGGAAGAACACCGGGUGGCGAAGGCGGCCCGCUGGGCAGUGACUGACGCUGAGGCGCGACAGCGUGGGGAGCAAACAGGG
rnacentral:rRNA from 1 species